AGAGUUUGAUCAUGGCUCAGGACGAACGCUGGCGGUGUGCUUAACACAUGCAAGUCGAGCGAGCCCCACCUUUCGGGGUGGUGUGCUAGCGGCGAACGGGUGAGUAACACGUGGGCAACCUGCCCUCAGCUCUGGGAUAACUCCAAGAAAUUGGGGCUAAUACCGGAUAUGACUGCUGACCGCAUGGUCUGGUGGUGGAAAGAUUUAUCGGCUGGGGAUGGGCCCGCGGCCUAUCAGCUUGUUGGUGGGGUAGUGGCCUACCAAGGCGACGACGGGUAGCCGGCCUGAGAGGGUGACCGGCCACACUGGGACUGAGACACGGCCCAGACUCCUACGGGAGGCAGCAGUGGGGAAUAUUGCGCAAUGGGCGGAAGCCUGACGCAGCGACGCCGCGUGGGGGAUGACGGCCUUCGGGUUGUAAACCUCUUUCAGCAGGGACGAAGCGAGAGUGACGGUACCUGCAGAAGAAGCACCGGCCAACUACGUGCCAGCAGCCGCGGUAAUACGUAGGGUGCAAGCGUUGUCCGGAAUUAUUGGGCGUAAAGAGCUCGUAGGCGGUUUGUUGCGUCGGCUGUGAAAUCCCGAGGCUCAACCUCGGGUCUGCAGUCGAUACGAGCAAACUAGAGUGUUGCAGGGGAGACUGGAAUUCCUGGUGUAGCGGUGAAAUGCGCAGAUAUCAGGAGGAACACCGGUGGCGAAGGCGGGUCUCUGGGCAACAACUGACGCUGAGGAGCGAAAGCGUGGGGAGCGAACAGGAUUAGAUACCCUAGUAGUCC
rnacentral:rRNA from 1 species